GCCCGCCUAGCUCAAUCGGAUAGAGCGUCAGACUCUUAAAGUGGGCGGCAGUUGGAUCUGAAGGCUGCGAGUUCGACCCUCGCGGUGGGCU
rnacentral:tRNA from 1 species